CAUUCCGUGUUGGUAAUUAGAUAAAUAAUUUAUUUAUGAACUAUUUACUUUCGAGUUAAGUUCCGAGUCCGCUAAUAGUAGUUCUCCGCGCUUUCCACAGCCAGCCUGGCCCUUCCCCCCCUCCUCUCGGAUGAAAUGCAAAUUGUUUCCAUUUUCCCUAGCAAAUCAUAUUUUCUAAUUACCAAUGUGGAUAUAACUCUGCUAGCUCCGAUUUGUGGUGCCACUAUUGCGCCCCAGGAGGGGGCAGAGACAGAGGUGGAGAACUGGGGACAAGCGACAAUCAUCAAUGGAGCUCAUUAAGCCAGUGUUGUUAUAACUGUAUUGUGAUGUAAGCCUGAGCUUUGUGUGCAUUCUACGGUGCAUAGGCACAGUGGAGUCUGUGCGCGAAAAUGCUGGCUAAAAGUUGGUACAAGCCCUCGUUAAUAAAAUCAAUAUUUACGUUGUUUGCAGGUGAAACUGGACGACCUAUCCCAUCCCAGGAAGUAAGCACACUGUGCCCCUACAUAUUCAUGGUAUUCAGGCAGUCUGGUCCGAGUAUAUAUCUGGGUUGCCUCCGUUACACUUUGCGCGAUUCAAAUGGGCGACGUGCGAAACCGUACGCCCCUUUUACGAUGUUUGAAGUUUAAAAAGUAUCGGCAAUCACACAGAGGAGUCCCUCAGAUGUCGAAGAAGGAAUUAGACAACCGAAUACGAGGAUAAUAAAAGAUAUCGUCAAGCUAGACAUCCUCACUAAGUCGACGCCGAAGUCCGGUCGACUCUAUUAUGGUGCUACAAAAACAAAGAUGACAUAUAAAACCAUGGAAAGAAGCGGACCAAGAAGAUAAAGGUUGGCAGAGGCAGACCUCUUCGUUGCAUUUCGGGUGUCAACAGCCAUUAAUGAGCGAUUAGUUUUAGUUAUUAGAUUAGUUAGUUAUUAGAUUAGUUAUAAAAUUAUAUUAGUUAUGGGUAAUUUAAAAGGGCGCAAUCGCA